AACGAACGCUGGCGGCAGGCCUAACACAUGCAAGUCGAACGGACGUAGCAAUACGUUAGUGGCUCACGGGAGAGUAACGCGUGGGAACCUACCUUUUGGUUCGGGAUAACAUCGGGAAACUGGUGCUAAUACCGGAUAAGCCCUUCGGGGGAAAGAUUUAUUGCCGAAAGAUGGGCCCGCGUUGGAUUAGCUAGUUGGUGAGGUAAUGGCUCACAAAGGCAACGAUCCAUAGCUGGUCUGAGAGGAUGAUCAGCCUCACUGGGGCUGAGACACGGCCCAGACUCCUACGGGAGGCAGCAGUGGGGAAUAUUGGACAAUGGGGGAAACCCUGAUCCAGCCAUGCCGCGUGAAUGAUGAAGGCCUUCGGGUUGUAAAGUUCUUUUGGUGGGGACGAUGAUGACGGUACCCACAGAAUAAGCUCCGGCUAACUUCGUGCCAGCCGCCGCGGUAA
rnacentral:rRNA from 1 species